rnacentral:rRNA from 1 species
GAUGAACGCUGGCGGCGUGCCUAACACAUGCAAGUCGAGCGAUGAAACCGCCUCCGGGCGGACAUGAAGCGGCGAACGGGUGAGUAACACGUGACCGACCUGCCCCCCGCCCAGGGACAGCCCCCCGAAAGGGGGAUUAAUACCUGGUACUCCGGAAGCGGCGCAUGCCGCGUCCGGGAAAGCUUUCGCGGCGGGGGAUGGGGUCGCGGCCCAUCAGGUAGACGGCGGGGCAGAGGCCCACCGUGCCGACGACGGGUAGCCGGGUUGAGAGACCGACCGGCCACAUUGGGACUGGUACACGGCCCAGACUCCUACGGGAGGCAGCAGUGGGGAAUAUUGCGCAAUGGGGGCAACCCUGACGCAGCAACGCCGCGUGCGGGACGAAGGCGUCCGCGUCGUAAACCGCUUUCAGCGGGGAACACUUCAACGAGGGUACCCGCAGAAGAAGCCCCGGCUAAAUACGUGCCAGCCGCCGCAGUAA